rnacentral:rRNA from 1 species
AUAUCAAUAAGCGGAGGAAAAGAAACCAACAGGGAUUGCCUCAGUAACGGCGAGUGAAGCGGCAACAGCUCAAAUUUGAAAUCUGGCUUCUCGGAGCCCGAGUUGUAAUUUGUAGAGGAUGUUUCGGGUACCGCUCCGGCUUAAUUUUCUUGGAACAGAAUGUCACAGAGGGUGAGAAUCCCGUCUGGAGCCGCGGUAGGGCCUAUGUGAAACUCCUUCGACGAGUCGAGUUGUUUGGGAAUGCAGCUCAAAAUGGGUGGUAAAUUUCAUCUAAAGCUAAAUAUUGGCCAGAGACCGAUAGCGCACAAGUAGAGUGAUCGAAAGAUGAAAAGCACUUUGAAAAGAGAGUUAAACAGUAUGUGAAAUUAUUGAAAGGGAAGCGCUGGCAACCAGACUUGCGUGUAGGGGUUCCCCCUCGCUUCUGCGUGGGUUACUCCCCUAUAUCCAGGCCAACAUCGGUUUUGGCGGUCGGUCAAAGGCCUUGGGAAUGUACCUUCCCCCGGGAAGACUUAUAGCCCAGGGUGUCAUGCGGCCUGCCGGGACCGAGGAACGCGCUUCGGCUCGGAUGUUGGCGUAAUGGUUGUCAGCGA